CUGUUAUGAUUACUGUUUCCCACAUGUUCCCCCACUGGCUAAUUCCCCAGAGCCGAGCCCGGCAAUCCCGCAUCCUCUUUGAUCCGCAAGGUUCUCCUGCACACACGUCCCGAGCUCCUUCUCCUGCCUGAUGUGCCACCGCCCCGGAUUUGAAUAGGUGAAGUCCCCCAUUAUCCCACACGUUGCCUUGAGCGCAUCUCUGCAUUUUCCCUGCAAACUUGCCUCUCAACAACCUUUCCGCUCCUUGCCCGCACAUUUGACCGAUUUUACAGGCGAGACUCGGUGACAGAAUUUAACCCUCCUUUGACUGUGGAGAGGCGGCCGCGCACUAGGACCCGGCGGCUCCCUGCCGAGACUGGGUCCGCCCGCCGCGGUCGGAGAGCCGAUCCCCGCCGAGCCGGAGCGGCGGGACCCGGGCACUGCAGCGGCGGGUGAGCGGGGAACCGGCGCGGCACGGCGGCAGGAGGCAGCGAGCGGCGGCGGGACGCGGGCGGCUCAGGGUGUGGACACUGAUGCCAACUCCGGCAGUUAUCGUCCAUCUCUAGUUGUCCUGCGACUGAAGAGGCAGUGACAAUUCGACCACUCUGGUGAGCCUGGAGUCAUGUACAAGCCAGACCAGUUUUAUAGGACCCUGAAAAAUCUGUUAAGAAAGAGAAUCUCAUGAGAGUUGCAGUUGCCUUCCAAAGUUGGUUCCAUUUGCUGGGUUCCAGAAAACGUGGUGAUGUCGGCUGUAGAGGAGGAACUCCGGGAGCGAGGG